NNNNGGAACAAUACAGAGAAGAUUAUUAGCAUGGCCCCUGCACGAGGAUGGCAAGCAAAUUGGUGAGGCAUUCCAUAUUUUU
rnacentral:snRNA from 1 species